rnacentral:rRNA from 1 species
GGAUUCCCCUAGUAACUGCGAGUGAAGCGGGAAAAGCUCAAAUUUAAAAUCUGUCAGCCUUUGGCUGUCCGAGUUGUAAUCUAGAGAAGUGUUAUCCGCGCUGGACCGUGUACAAGUCUCCUGGAAUGGAGCGUCAUAGAGGGUGAGAAUCCCGUCUUUGACACGGACUGCCAGGGCUUUGUGAUGCGCUCUCAAAGAGUCGAGUUGUUUGGGAAUGCAGCUCAAAAUGGGUGGUAAAUUCCAUCUAAAGCUAAAUAUUGGCGAGAGACCGAUAGCGAACAAGUACCGUGAGGGAAAGAUGAAAAGAACUUUGGAAAGAGAGUUAAACAGUACGUGAAAUUGCUGAAAGGGAAACGCUUGAAGUCAGUCGCGUUGUCCAGGGAUCAACCUUGCUUUUGCUUGGUGUACUUUCUGGUUAACGGGUCAGCAUCAAUUUUGACUGUUGGAAAAAGAUCAGGGGAAUGUGGCAUCUUCGGAUGUGUUAUAGCCCUUGGUUGCAUACAAUGGUUGGGAUUGAGGAACUCAGCACGCCGCAAGGCCGGGUUUUAACCACGUACGUGCUUAGGAUGCUGGCAUAAUGGCUUUAAUCGACCCGUCUUGAAACACGGACCAAGGAGUCUAACAUGCCUGCGAGUGUUUGGGUGGAAAACCCGAGCGCGUAAUGAAAGUGAAAGUUGAGAUCCUUGUCAUGGGGAGCAUCGACGCCCGGACCAGACCUUUUGUGACGGUUCCGCGGUAGAGCAUGUAUGUUGGGACCCGAAAGAUGGUGAACUAUGCCUGAWUAGGGUGAAGCCAGAGGAAACUCUGGUGGAGGCUCGUAGCGAUUCUGACGUGCAAAUCGAUCG